AAUAAAGUUCCAGCAACAUAAAUAUUCAAAACGAUAGUUCACGAGUUUGUCCAGUUACGUUGUUGGUGGCAGAGGAUUGCGGAAUCUUCGAGUUAAUCAAUUCAAGUGAGUAAUGCCUGUUGAGUAUUAUGUGACUAUACCCACGACGCACAGUGUGACAAAACACAAAAUU